GACGAACGCUGGCGGCGUGCUUAACACAUGCAAGUCGAACGGUGAAGCGCCUUCCUUUUUGGUGGGUGUGGAUGAGUGGCGAACGGGUGAGUAACACGUGAGUAACCUGCCCCCUUCUUCUGGAUAACCGCAUGAAAGUGUGGCUAAUACGGGAUAUUCUGGGUCUGUCGCAUGAUGGGUCUGGGAAAGAUAUUGUUUCGGUGGGGGAUGGGCUCGCGGCCUAUCAGCUUGUUGGUGGGGUGAUGGCCUACCAAGGCGGUGACGGGUAGCCGGCCUGAGAGGGUGGACGGUCACACUGGGACUGAGACACGGCCCAGACUCCUACGGGAGGCAGCAGUGGGAAAUAUUGCACAAUGGGCGCAAGCCUGAUGCAGCGACGCCGCGUGAGGGAUGGAGGCCUUCGGGUUGUGAACCUCUUUCGCCAGUGAAGCAGGCCUGCCUCGUUUGUGGGUGGGUUGACGGUAGCUGGAUAAGAAGCGCCGGCUAACUACG
rnacentral:rRNA from 1 species